rfam:Cucumis sativus cultivar 9930 chromosome 2, whole genome shotgun sequence.
UUGCUAUGAUGAGAUUUGCCCCAAUAGUGAUCUGGGUCGAUCACAACCGUCCGAUUCAUAUCCGACGAAAAUCCUGGGUGCAUCUGAGCUG